AUGAAUGGGCGGGCCUUGAU
rnacentral:tRNA from 1 species